rnacentral:lncRNA from 1 species
UUUAAAAGCUAAGUUUAGGGUAAAACCCCUAAAAGCUCCCAAAGCCCAAGAAAGUGCGAUAACAAAAAGAAAAAAAUGAAUCGAGAGAAAGAAAAAAUAAAAAGAGAAAAAUUUAUAACUCGAAGAUUCAAGAAGAAGCACGAAAAAGGGCAUUUGAUAUAAAAAUAGAAAAAAUAGAAAAACUGAGCAAAUAAAAGAAACAAACACAGUAUGUAACAUCGACUCUGAACCAAAAACCCACUUGUUUCCCGUUUUUGUUUGAAUAAUCCAUACCCUAACCCAAGCCAAGUUACAACCCGAAAGACCUCAAAAGUGUGUGCAUUGUGUGUAUGUGAUAGGAAAAGAGAGACUAUUCAAACUUGCAACUUGAUAUUGCAUACUCUGAAUUAUGAGUGAAAAUAGUUAACCCCGGGAGAAUUG